rnacentral:rRNA from 1 species
GACGAACGCGGCGGCGUGCCUAAUACAUGCAAGUAGAACGCUGAAGGAGGAGCUUGCUUCUCUGGAUGAGUUGCGAACGGGUGAGUAACGCGUAGGUAACCUGCCUGGUAGCGGGGGAUAACUAUUGGAAACGAUAGCUAAUACCGCAUAAGAGUAGAUGUUGCAUGACAUUUGCUUAAAAGGUGCAAUUGCAUCACUACCAGAUGGACCUGCGUUGUAUUAGCUAGUUGGUGAGGUAACGGCUCACCAAGGCAACGAUACAUAGCCGACCUGAGAGGGUGAUCGGCCACACUGGGACUGAGACACGGCCCAGACUCCUACGGGAGGCAGCAGUAGGGAAUCUUCGGCAAUGGACGGAAGUCUGACCGAGCAACGCCGCGUGAGUGAAGAAGGUUUUCGGAUCGUAAAGCCCUGUUGUAAGAGAAGAAACGAGUGUGAGAGUGGAAAAGUUCACCACUG